ACACGUGGGCAAUCUGCCCUGCACACCGGGAUAAGCCUGGGAAACUGGGUCUAAUACCGGAUAGGACCACUUGGCGCAUGCCUUGUGGUGGAAAGCUUUUGCGGUGUGGGAUGGGCCCGCGGCCUAUCAGCUUGUUGGUGGGGUGACGGCCUACCAAGGCGACGACGGGUAGCCGGCCUGAGAGGGUGUCCGGCCACACUGGGACUGAGAUACGGCCCAGACUCCUACGGGAGGCAGCAGUGGGGAAUAUUGCACAAUGGGCGCAAGCCUGAUGCAGCGACGCCGCGUGGGGGAUGACGGCCUUCGGGUUGUAAACCUCUUUCACCAUCGACGAAGGUCCGGGUUCUCUCGGAUUGACGGUAGGUGGAGAAGAAGCACCGGCCAACUACGUGCCAGCAGCCGCGGUAAUACGUAGGGUGCGAGCGUUGUCCGGAAUUACUGGGCGUAAAGAGCUCGUAGGUGGUUUGUCGCGUUGUUCGUGAAAUCUCACGGCUUAACUGUGAGCGUGCGGGCGAUACGGGCAGACUAGAGUACUGCAGGGGAGACUGGAAUUCCUGGUGUAGCGGUGGAAUGCGCAGAUAUCAGGAGGAACACCGGUGGCGAAGGCGGGUCUCUGGGCAGUAACUGACGCUGAGGAGCGAAAGCGUGGGGAGCGAACAGGAUUAGAUACCCUGGUAGUC
rnacentral:rRNA from 1 species